rnacentral:rRNA from 1 species
AGCAGCGCGGUAAUACGUAGGGGGCUAGCGUUAUCCGGAUUUACUGGGCGUAAAGGGUGCGUAGGCGGUCUUUCAAGUCAGGAGUGAAAGGCUACGGCUCAACCGUAGUAAGCUCUUGAAACUGGGGGACUUGAGUGCAGGAGAGGAGAGUGGAAUUCCUAGUGUAGCGGUGAAAUGCGUAGAUAUUAGGAGGAACACCAGUUGCGAAGGCGGCUCUCUGGACUGUAACUGACGCUGAGGCACGAAAGCGUGGGGAGCAAACAGGAUUAGAUACCCUGGUAGUCCACGCUGUAAACGA